GUCAUCAACACUCACAAUUUUGGCCGAUUCUGGCCCGUUUCGUGGACUCUUGCUCAGUGUUUGUGGGUCCCGGAGUGAUUUCCAUGAUUAACGAACCCCGGGGUGCGUUUACGUGUCGGUCAUCAACACUCAUAGUUUUGGCCGAUUCUGGCCCGGUUCAUGGACUACUACUCACCGUUUUGUGGUCCCAAAGCGACUUCCAAGGUUGUUGAACCCCAAGGUGCGCUUACGUGUCAGUCAUCAACAAUCCCAGUUUUGGCAGAUUUUGGCCCGUUUCAUGGACUAUUACUCGGCGAUUUGGGGUCCCUAAGCGAUUUCCAUGAUUGACAAACCUCGGGGUGCGUUUAUGUAUCGUUCAUCAAUAAUCCAAGGUUUGUCCGAUUCUGGGCUCUUUCAUGGACUAUUACUCACUGUUUCGGGAUCCCAAAGCGAUUUCCAUGGUUGUCGAACCCCAAGGUGUACUUAUGUAUUGGUCAUCAAGACUCGCAGUUUGGGCCGAUUUUCACCCGUUUCUUGGACUAUUACUCAGUUUUGGGGUCCUGAAUCGUUUCCAUGAUUGACGAACUCCGGUGUGCGUUUACGUGUCGGUCAUCAACACUCACAAUUUUGGAUGAUUCUGGUCCGUUUCGAGCACUAUUACUCAUCGUUUUGGGGAGCCACAGCGAUUUCCAUGAUUGACGAUCCCUGGGGUGCGUUUACGUGUCCGUCGUCAACAAUCACAGUUUUGGCCAAUUCUGCCCGUUUCGUGGACUAUUACUCACUGUUUUAGGGUCUCGGAAUGAUUUUCACGAUUAAUGAACCCUGGGUGCGUUUACAUGUCGGUUAUCGACACUCACAGUUUUGGCCAUUCUGGCCCGUUUCGUGGACUAUUACUCAUUAUUUUGGGGUUCCGGAUUGAUUUCCAUGAUUAACGAACACCGGGGUGCGUUUACGUGUCAGUGAUCAACAAUCACAGUUUUGGCUUAUUCUGGCCCGUUUCAUGGACCAUUGCUCACUAUUUUGGGGUUCUGGAGUAAUUAACAUGAUUAACGAACCCCGAGGUGCGUUUACUUUUUGGUCAUCAACACUCACAAUUUUGGCCGAUUCUGGCCCGUUUCGUGGACUAUUGCUCACUGUUUGUGGGUCCCGGAGUGAUUUCCAUGAUUAACGAACCCCGGGGUGCGUUUACGUGUCGGUCAUCAACACUCAUAGUUUUGGCCGAUUCUGGCCCGGUUCAUGGACUACUCACCGUUUUGUGGUCCCAAAGCGAUUUCCAAGGUUGUUGAACCCCAAGGUGCGCUUACGUGUCAGUCAUCAACAAUCCCAGUUUUGGCAGAUUCUGGCCUGUUUCAUGGACUAUUACUCACCGAUUUGGGGUCCCUAAGCGAUUUCCAUGAUUGACAAACCCCGGGGUGCGUUUAUGUAUUGUUCAUCAAUAAUCCUAGGUUCGUCCGAUUCUGGGCUCUUUCAUGGACUAUUAC
rnacentral:lncRNA from 1 species